UCAUUAUGAUGGGUCUCUUUGUGUCACA
rnacentral:piRNA from 1 species